GUCUCAGUAGCUCAGCUGGAUAGAGCAACGCCCUUCUAAGGCGUCGGUCGGGGGUUCGAAUCCCUCCUGGGACGUCA
rnacentral:tRNA from 1 species